AACGAACGCUGGCGGCAGGCUUAACACAUGCAAGUCGAGCGCCCCGCAAGGGGAGCGGCAGACGGGUGAGUAACGCGUGGGAAUCUACCUUUUGCUACGGAAUAACUCAGGGAAACUUGUGCUAAUACCGUAUGUGCCCUUCGGGGGAAAGAUUUAUCGGCAAAGGAUGAGCCCGCGUUGGAUUAGCUAGUUGGUGGGGUAAAGGCCCACCAAGGCGACGAUCCAUAGCUGGUCUGAGAGGAUGAUCAGCCACACUGGGACUGAGACACGGCCCAGACUCCUACGGGGGGCAGCAGUGGGGAAUAUUGGACAAUGGGCGCAAGCCUGAUCCAGCCAUGCCGCGUGAGUGAUGAAGGCCCUAGGGUUGUAAAGCUCUUUCACCGGUGAAGAUAAUGACGGUAACCGGAGAAGAAGCCCCGGCUAACUUCGUGCCAGCCGCCGCCGUAAAAC
rnacentral:rRNA from 1 species